AGCGGACAUGUGGCUUAUUCGACGCAACGCGAAGAACCUUACCAAGGCUUGACAUACACCGGAAAGCAUCAAAGAUGGCGCCCCCCUUGUGGUCGGUGUACAGGUGGUGCAUGGCUGUCGUCAGCUCGUGUCGUGAGAUGUUGGGUUAAGUCCCGCAACGAGCGCAACCCUUGUUCUGUGUUGCCAGCAUGCCCUUCGGGGUAAUGGGGACUCACAGGAGACUGCCGGGGUCAACUCG
rnacentral:rRNA from 1 species